rnacentral:rRNA from 1 species
UCAUGGCUCAGAUUGAACGCUGGCGGCAGGCCUAACACAUGCAAGUCGAACGGUAACAGGAAGAGCUUGCUUCUUUGCUGACGAGUGGCGGACGGGUGAGUAAUGUCUGGGAAACUGCCUGAUGGAGGGGGAUAACUACUGGAAACGGUAGCUAAUACCGCAUAACGUCGCAAGACCAAAGAGGGGGACCUUCGGGCCUCUUGCCAUCGGAUGUGCCCAGAUGGGAUUAGCUGUAGGUGGGGUAACGGCUCACCUAGGCGACGAUCCCUAGCUGGUCUGAGAGGAUGACCAGCCACACUGGAACUGAGACACGGUCCAGACUCCUACGGGAGGCAGCAGUGGGGAAUAUUGCACAAUGGGCGCAAGCCUGAUGCAGCCAUGCCGCGUGUAUGAAGAAGGCCUUCGGGUUGUAAAGUACUUUCAGCGGGGAGGAAGGGAGUAAAGUUAAUACCUUUGCUCAUUGACGUUACCCGCAGAAGAAGCACCGGCUAACUCCGUGCCAGCAGCCGCGGUAAUACGGAGGGUGCAAGCGUUAAUCGGAAUUACUGGGCGUAAAGCGCACGCAGGCGGUUUGUUAAGUCAGAUGUGAAAUCCCCGGGCUCAACCUGGGAACUGCAUCUGAUACUGGCAAGCUUGAGUCUCGUAGAGGGGGGUAGAAUUCCAGGUGUAGCGGUGAAAUGCGUAGAGAUCUGGAGGAAUACCCGGUGGCGAAGGCGGCCCCCUGACGAAG